AGAGUUUGAUCCUGGCUCAGGAUGAACGCUAGCUACAGGCUUAACACAUGCAAGUCGAGGGGCAGCAUUUUAGUUUGCUUGCAAACUGAAGAUGGCGACCGGCGCACGGGUGAGUAACACGUAUCCAACCUGCCGAUAACUCCGGGAUAGCCUUUCGAAAGAAAGAUUAAUACCGGAUAGCAUACGAAUAUCGCAUGAUAUUUUUAUUAAAGAAUUUCGGUCAUCGAUGGGGAUGCGUUCCAUUAGGUUGUUGGCGGGGUAACGGCCCACCAAGCCUUCGAUGGAUAGGGGUUCUGAGAGGAAGGUCCCCCACAUUGGAACUGAGACACGGUCCAAACUCCUACGGGAGGCAGCAGUGAGGAAUAUUGGUCAAUGGACGAGAGUCUGAACCAGCCAAGUAGCGUGAAGGAUGACUGCCCUAUGGGUUGUAAACUUCUUUUAUACGGGAAUAAAGUGAGGCACGUGUGCCUUUUUGUAUGUACCGUAUGAAUAAGGAUCGGCUAACUCCGUGCCAGCAGCCGCGGUAAUACGGAGGAUCCGAGCGUUAUCCGGAUUUAUUGGGUUUAAAGGGAGCGUAGGCGGACGCUUAAGUCAGUUGUGAAAGUUUGCGGCUCAACCGUAAAAUUGCAGUUGAUACUGGGUGUCUUGAGUACAGUAGAGGCAGGCGGAAUUCGUGGUGUAGCGGUGAAAUGCUUAGAUAUCACGAAGAACUCCGAUUGCGAAGGCAGCUUGCUGGACUGUAACUGACGCUGAUGCUCGAAAGUGUGGGUAUCAAACAGGAUUAGAUACCCUGGUAGUCCACACAGUAAACGAUGAAUACUCGCUGUUUGCGAUAUACAGUAAGCGGCCAAGCGAGAGCGUUAAGUAUUCCACCUGGGGAGUACGCCGGCAACGGUGAAACUCAAAGGAAUUGACGGGGGCCCGCACAAGCGGAGGAACAUGUGGUUUAAUUCGAUGAUACGCGAGGAACCUUACCCGGGCUUGAAUUGCAACUGAAUGAUGUGGAGACAUGUCAGCCGCAAGGCAGUUGUGAAGGUGCUGCAUGGUUGUCGUCAGCUCGUGCCGUGAGGUGUCGGCUUAAGUGCCAUAACGAGCGCAACCCUUAUCGAUAGUUACCAUCAGGUUAUGCUGGGGACUCUGUCGAGACUGCCGUCGUAAGAUGUGAGGAAGGUGGGGAUGACGUCAAAUCAGCACGGCCCUUACGUCCGGGGCUACACACGUGUUACAAUGGGGGGUACAGAAGGCAGCUACACGGCGACGUGAUGCUAAUCCCGAAAGCCUCUCUCAGUUCGGAUUGGAGUCUGCAACCCGACUCCAUGAAGCUGGAUUCGCUAGUAAUCGCGCAUCAGCCACGGCGCGGUGAAUACGUUCCCGGGCCUUGUACACACCGCCCGUCAAG
rnacentral:rRNA from 1 species